GAUGAAGAACGCAGCGAAAUGCGAUAAGUAAUGUGAAUUGCAGAAUUCAGUGAAUCAUCGAAUCUUUGAACGCACAUUGCGCCCGCCAGUAUUCUGGUGGGCAUGCCUGUCUGAGCGUCAUUUCAACCCUCAUGCCCCUAGGGCGUGGUGUUGGGGAUCGGCCAAAGCCCGCGAGGGACGGCCGGCCCCUAAAUCUAGUGGCGGACCCGUCGUGGCCUCCUCUGCGAAGUAGUGAUAUUCCGCAUCGGAGAGCGACGAGCCCCUGCCGUUAAACCCCCAACUUUCCAAGGUUGACCUCAGAUCAGGUAGGAAUACCCGCUGAACUUAAGCAUAUCAAUAAGCGGAGGA
rnacentral:misc_RNA from 1 species